GGACUACCGGGGUAUCUAAUCCCGUUCGCUCCCCUGGCUUUCGCGCUUGAGUGUCAGUAUCGGCCCAGUGACCCGCCUUCGCAUCUGGUGUUCCUCCCAAUAUCUACGCAUUUCACCGCUACACUGGGAAUUCCAGUCACCUCUUCCGUACUCUAGUUUGGCAGUAUCAAAUGCAGUUCCCAAGUUGAGCCCGGGGCUUUCACACCUGACUUGCCAGACCACCUUCACGCGCUUUACGCCCAGUAAUUCCGAACAACGCUUGCCCCCUACGUAUUACCGCGGCUGCUGGCAC
rnacentral:rRNA from 1 species